GGCGCGCCGGGAGCUCCGCCCGGCUCCUGUGGAGGAAGCGGCGAGGGCGAGCCGCGGGGUCUCGGCGCCUCUGUAUGCUUGCACUUAACGAGAACCCAGAGCGAACACGACCCACAUUUCUCUUUUUGUUUUAAGAGGAAAUAUAGGAGUUACAGCAUAGAAUUACAAUAUCUGGACAUUAGAAAUAACAGGUCCCGGUCACGGUAUGGCACCGCGCGACACACUUGGUCCCUGAGGCCUGGAUGCCGCUCAGCAAACGUUCGCGGAAUAGGGUUGGGUUUACUGUCCCCCACCGAGCCGGUUGCUCAUUCAUUCAGCAUAAUUGAAUACCUCCUGUGUGCCAGGCACUGAAUCAAGUGUCGGAGACAAUGUCCUGCCCUCAAGCUCCUGGCCGGUUACUUGACAACCUUCCGGGACCUCAACGCUAUGUGCCUACUGUGUGAAAGCAAAGUGCCAGGUGGAGGACACAAAGAUGGCGAGCGACACAGGAUAGUCCUUAACAAUUAAGCGUGACUAAUUUUAAUAACAAAUGAGAAUAUGAUGUGACAUCCGUUCCAAAUCCUGUCGUUCCAAGUAACUUCUUAAGCAUCUUUCACGAUACAGCCUCUGCUUGAAAGGAAUUAAAACAGGUACAAGCAUGGAAGGAGACGUUGCUAUCAUAUUUCAAGAAUAAGAAAAUGCUGUUUUGUGUGGUUGUGCAGCAGGCAAUGAAAUGAGCUUACAUUCAAGCUUCCGUGUUUUACUGAAACAACAGUCACAGAUGCAGUAGAUGUUAAAGGUUGAAAGACGAGUGCAGUAAAAGCAUUAUGAGGACAAGAAGAAAACGUAAAUAUUUGUGUUGUUUCAUUCUUUGUUGUGGUGGCAGAAACAGCCCCCUCUUUCUAAGAGUAAGGAAGGACUGAAAGGAGGAGAAACUAUGGGUUGCCUUUUCCUUCUGUCAUCUGUUCAGCAUUUCAUAGUAAAACCUUUGUUGAUUUAAUAAACAUAAUGGAUACUCAUUAAAAUAUUCAAACAGCAUAGAAAGGGACAAAGAAGAAAGCAGCCAGCAAUCCAAGUACCACUAUCCAGAAAUAGCCAGUGAUAUCUCUUUAUGUGUGGAAAUACAAUGAAAAUUGAGUGAGAGACAUACACAGAGGAAGAAGAAAAAGAAAGCAAUCAAACUCCAAAUGGUGCUGCAAACUGAACCCCACAUGGACACGCCAUUCUUCUGAGGACCCUUAGAUCCACCCCAGGAGGAGCCCUAGCUGCUGUUCCCCAUUCGAUGCCCCUUUUCAGCCGAGGUGAUAACUGGAAGAGAGCAGAAAGGGAGCAUCUGGGAUACUGCUCUAAGAGCAGGACUGCCAUAUGAGGAUGCAGAGACUGUGCCUUGUGAAACUCCAGGGGCACCAUUCAUACAAGCCAACUGGACUCCAAGUGCCACGAGAACAGAGAUUGGGUCUGGUCCCCAGCUUCAGUGCCUCCAAGGCAGAAACUCAAGAGACGUUGUUGAACUGUCAGCCUUUACAUUUAUGCAUUACUAUUGAAGGCCUGGAAUAAAUGGAUCGUGUUUUACCUGUUAUCUUGCUCAUCUCUAUUACUGCUUCAUCAGCAGCUCUUCCCAAAGCAAUAAAAUGAACAAUGGCCCC
rnacentral:lncRNA from 1 species